rnacentral:lncRNA from 1 species
GGCGCUACUAAGGAGUACUAAAACAAAAACUCCAUUAUUAGAUGGGAACAUCUGUAGGGCGGAUGAUUUGUGGAUUCGAUCUCUACGGAAAAAGCGGGAGGGAGCGUGAUGAGGACGCUGGAGUUAGUUUACUGAUGCGGCACCAGCGCUUCUCAUUGUUGAUUGGAUAUAAAGAUUUGUUAGGUUCAAAAGAGUGCCCUCACCACUGCCUCUGCUACGAACACUCGGAUUUGGUGGACUGCCGAACGUGCGGGUUCCUCCAAGUGCCCCACGGCCUGUCCCAUGGCACCUGGCUGCUGGACCUGGGUAGCAACUUGCUGAUGGAAGUGCGGAGCCGUGCCUUUGCCUUGGUGACUGCGGGUCCUGUCUGACAGUGGAAUCCAGCUGCUGCAGCCCGAGGCCUUCUACUCCCUCUCCUUUCUGGAGAAGCUGGACAUGAGCCGUAACAAGCUGCGCCGGCUGCCGUUGGACUUUCCCACAGUCUGUCCUCGGUCCGGGAGCUCCGGCUGGACCACAACACCCUUGAGUGGCUAGAAGUCUCCAGCCUGGAGCACCUGGAGAAGCUGGACCUCAGCCACAACCACAUCACCUUCCUGCAGCCAGGAGCCUUCCGGGGCCUGUCUUGCCUGCGCCAUCUCUACCUCCAUGCCAACCAGCUGGGAGCUGUACGCCAUGGUUCCCUGUCCAUGCUGCCCGUCCUGGAGGCCCUGCAGCUGGGCCAGAACAACAUCACUCACAUCGACACGGAGGCUCUGGCUCCCCUGCACAGCCUCACCCUGCUGGGCCUGGAGGGAAACCAGCUGCAGCACCUUAAGUUCAAGACCUUUCUGAGCCUCCACACGGCCGGCACCCACCUGCAGCUAGCUGGCAACCCAUGGAACUGCGUCUGCGACCUGCACCGGGUCUUCAGCAAGCUGCUGAGUGUGCGCACCUUCACGUUGACGACUACCACAACGUGACGUGCCGCGAGCCUCUGCAGCUGGCGGGCGCCUCGCUGGCAUGGGUGGACAGGCAGUUGUGCAUGGCAGAGACGGCCACCGUGCUGGUCAUCACCUUGAUGGUACUGGUGACCGUGUUGGCAGCUGUGGUCAUGGCCGAACACACCCGCAAAAAGAACCAACAUGGCGGCAAGAGCUGGGAUGCUGAGUCGCAGACCCAGGAGAGGUGACUGUCAUGGGGGAGGGACACUGAGUGAGUGUGUAAUCCGUUCGAUAGAUGCAUUUUCCCUCACCGAUCUAGGAUCACAUUUUACACCAUGCUCCCUGGUCAUUUUAUGUUUGAAGAAGAAAAAAAGAAAGGGGCCAUUUCCCAUCUGCAGCAAACUGACUGUGAGGGUUCAUAACACACCUCAGGCUCAGACUGCUCCUUAACAUUCAGUUGAACUUGUUGGAGGCACUCAUUCUCUCUUCUACUUCAUCAUGGUCAUAAUGCAUGCCCCAUUCUGGUUCCAAGAGUCUGAGAAACAAUAUUUUAGAGUAUGAGCAGUUUUGUAUGAUAUAUCUAGAAGUCUCUGACUUGUGGAACUUGAGGAAUGGACAUCAUUAUUUUUCGGUGUAUCAUUUAAGACCUACCUGAAAUGUUUGACUGCUUCCAAUUUAUCCUGUUAAUUUCUUUCUUAAAACACCAGUACAGUGUUUGAAGAGAAAAUGUUCAACAGAAAAAUACUGUCUAUUCCAUUUCUGCACACUGUUGAGAACUUGGGUGUCAUGUUUCAAAUGUAGGCCUAUACUCAAAGUACAGUAGUUAUUUUUGUCUCAUGAAUGAUUAUCUUCUAACACAUGGAUAUGUUUGAUAGGGAAUUUAUUGUAUACAGAUCGUAAUAAAGUAUGAUUCUUUAUUUUUACUCUACCUUGUGAUGUUCCUGGAUUAAAUCUUUGCC